UGGUUCUGGCAUCGAUGAAGAACGCAGCGAAAUGCGAUAAGUAGUGUGAAUUGCAGAAUUCAGUGAAUCAUCGAAUCUUUGAACGCACAUUGCGCCCCUUGGUAUUCCAUGGGGCAUGCCUGUUCGAGCGUCAUAUACAUCUUCAAGCUUUGCUUGGUGUUGGGCUUGUCAGUAACUUGCCUUAAAUAAAUUGGCAGCCAGCAAUCGGUGUAGAGUGCAGCACAUUGUUCUCUUACAGACAUGCUGUGUUUCCAGAAGACGUUCUUCGUUUGACCUCGGAUCAGGUAGGGAUACCCGCUGA
rnacentral:misc_RNA from 1 species